CAGACAGACAGAGAGAGAGAGAGACUGUCUGUCUGUCUGUCUCUCUGUCUCUCUGUCUGUCUGUCUCUCUCUCUCUCUGUCUGUCUG
rnacentral:miRNA from 14 species